AGAGGUCAGUAUUUAUAAAUGUUGGAAGAGGAACUGUUAUUAAUGAGGAUAGUUUGGUCACUGCUUUAAGGUAAUUACUUACAAAGGUAAAUUGGCAGAGAAAAUUAUCUUUUCUUAGACGAUUUAGUAUGAAUAAUGUAUAAACGAAAUUAUUGAGACUAUAUAUACAAAGAGUCUGUGUCGCUGAUUAAGAUCUGUGUUCAUCGUCAGUAAUGUACAUCUCCAACAUUGAAAACUAGAAUAGAAUUAAUAACAGAAAUAUUUUCUUUUAUUCUUUUUUUUUCAUCGCUGAUCAUUUUUAGACCGACUUGCCUAAAGGGCCAAGUGAGCUUUUUUAUAAGUUCUAUUUUUUUUAAAUCUUCUCUAAAAUUACCAAGCCUAAUUUGACUAAAUUUGGCCACAAUCACCAUUAGAUUAUCUACUUUAAAAGACGUGUCCAAAAAACCAGUAAUUUCAGAGACGAAAAUGUUUGUAAAAGUUAACGGAUGACGACGACGGACAAUAAACAAUAGACGCCAAGUGAUGGGAAAACUCACACUGGCCCUAUGUGUUGGUGAGUUAAAAUAACUAAGGGACUUAGCUACUAAGGAAAAUACAAUUUUGAAGAUGAUUUUCUUAGGGAAACAUAUGCUGUUCUUUGAAGAUAUUAAAGAGUUGAUAGCACCAGAACAUUUAGGGGAUUUUCUAUGUAUUUUGUUAUCUUAUAGUUCGUUUCUAUGUAUGUAUGUUGUUUGUUUUUUGUUGCACUUCAGUGUUCUGUUGUUUCGUUGUUUUCCUCUUAUAUGAACUUAUAGAUGAUGUGUUUCCCUUGUUUUUAGUUUGUAACCUGGAUUUCGAUUUGUGACCUUUGAACAACGGUAUACUAUUGUUGCCUUUAUUCGAACAUAACUAUCUAUAUAGAAGACAUACUAAAAAUGUAAUAAUUCCAAAUGCACGUAAGCUUAAAUGAUAUACAUGUAUGUAUGUUAUUUUGAAGGAAUGAAUGGAUUGGCGGUGCUGUUCUAGACGUUUUUAGCACAGAACCAUUAUCAGUUGACAGUCCUUUGUGGUCAUUCCCUAAAGUGAUUAUUACACCACAUAUAUCAGGACCUUGUCAGACUCAACUAGUGAGUACUACAUUGACAUUUCAGAAAUGAUAACCGCUUAUAUCUAACUGUUUAGUAACUUUAGUUUUCUAUUGGCCUGACAUAUAAAAAAUUAAUACGAUGUUCUUAUGAUUCACCGCUUAUAAAUUGUUAAAUUCAUUAGAAAUAAUAACAUCUUUCUACACCUGACAAAAGAUUGCCUUAGCAACAUAUACACACUUGAUUUAUUUUGUGUUUUUCGUCAAAAUAACCAAUAACAAGUUACAAAUAUACGAUGCAGAAACCUGGGCUGCAUUUUUCACUAUUUGGUAUAUAUUUUAAAUACACCAAGGAUAACAUAAUAAUUGGUUUCAACAGAACAGUACAAGUUCGUUUCAGAAAACUUUGUUAUCUACUUAAGGACUAAAGAGUUGGUGUGAUAUAUAUUUAUCCUCUAUGUUACGUCAUUUCACUACAAAAUAUAAUUAAUACCAGGGCUUAACUGGAAAUGAAAAAACCUUAUGCUAGAUAUUCUUGGCUUAAUGAGAAAACAAAAUUGAUGAUGAUUUAACACUGGUAUUGAUAUGUUGUAGGUCGUCCAGACUUUUGUUGAAAAUUACAUGAAAUUUGUCGGUAAUGAAAAACUUGGUGGUCUCGUGAACUGGAGUGGAGGUUACUGACUUAAUUUCGCUAUACUUGGUGUGUUCAAAAGAUAGGAAAAUAAAACUUGGAUGAUUGCAAUAUAAAUGUGAUUAGAAUUAAUUAAAUUUACUUUUACAAAAAACAUG
rnacentral:lncRNA from 1 species